AUCUAAUAUCAUUGCGUCAAACCAUCAGUCACCCAGCAAUGAAAGGAGACCCAGGCGAGGGCUAAAGCCCAAGAAUCUCCUGGUCAAGCCUGUCACUGCCGGCCACAGUAUGAAGACCCUCUAUCCACAGGAUUCUCUUCCGCCUGCAGUGGUGUGAAGACCCUUAGUACGCAGACACACAGAAACCUAACUCCCUCUGGAUCUCCAGAUGAAAAUAUCACUCGCUGGAACAAAAGGUCAGAGACGUAAGAAAAAUCUACCAGGCAGUGAGAAGGAAACAUAAAUGACAUUUACUAUGUUUAUACGAAGUGUCUAGAAUAUGCAAAUCCACAGUACCUUCAUCAAGUUUCUUUCCUGGACUAAUUCUCUGAUUUCUAAUGAGGCCUAAACUCUGGCUGAAAAACUGUGAGGUCAGAUUUCCAGAGGAGUGUUAUCAUAUAUUUAUUAUAUUCAUACACUUCUCUCCUGUAUGUUGCCUGAUGGUUAGUGAGAGCUGAUUUCUUGAAAAGAACUGCUCACAUUCACAUACGCAAAGUCUCCUGUGUGAAUUCUCUGGUAAACUCUGAGCUGUGACUUCUGGCUGAAAGCUUCCCCAAAUGCAUUACAUUCACAGGGGUUUCUCCCUUGUGCACGUUCUCUGAUGUGUUCUGAGGUCCAAUUCCCAGGGGGAAGUCAUCUCACGUUCAUUACAUUCAUAGGGUUUCUCGCCUGUGUGCAUUCUGUGAUGUGCUGUAGGGGCUGACUUACAGAUUAGUUUUCCCACAUUUAUCAUUUAUAGGGUUUCCCUUCUGUGUGAGUUCUCUGAUAUUUCCUUAGUUCUGAUUCCUUGCUGACAGUUUUACCACAUUCAUUAUAUUCAAAGGGUUUCUCUCCUGAGUUCUCUCAUGUAGUGUGAGUGUUAACUUACAGCUAAAAGACUUGUCAUAUUGAUCACAUUUAUAGGAUCUGUUCCCCAUGUGAGUUCUCUGAUAUUGUCUUAUGUCAGAGGUAUAGUUGAAAGCUCUCCCACAUUCAUUGCAUUCAAAGGGUUUCUUCUCUAUGUGAGUUCUCUGAUGCCCUUUGAGCUGACUUUUCACUGAAAGCUUUCCCAUGAUCACUACAACCAUAGUAUUUUUCCUCUGUGUUUUCUUAUGUGCAAUGAGGUGUGAUUUCCUAGAGAAGGAUUUUCUCCACUCAUUUCACUCACAGGGCUUCACUUUUCAUGAGUUCUCUGAUUUAUAUUGAAGGCUGGUUGGGAACUGAAGAUUUCCCUACAUCUGUUGUAAUCACAGUAUUUCUCUGCUGUGUGAGUUCUCUGAUGUAAUGGCUGGUUUUUCCAUGUUCGAGGAUUUCACUCCUAUGAGUUCUCACAUGUUCUCUGAAGUCAGAAUUUUCUGCUGGAAAGUUUCCCUCUUGUGUCAGUUCUCUGAACUUGAGUUAUCUUACUGAAAUUAUCCCCAUUUUGAUUAUAUUAAUUUUCAUUAGAUUCAGUGGCUCUUUUCUGUGUGAAUGGUCUGAGAGAUAAUGAGGAUUGAUUUAUCACAUUUUUGCCAAAUUUAUAAUUACAGGAUCUCAGCUUUGUGUGGGCACUCUAAGGUAUAGUAAGAGCAGUCUUGUCAUGGAAAGCUUUUCCAUGUUUAUUAUAUUCAAGAGCUUGCCUCAAAGUCUAGAUAGUUUGAUGCUGAAUAACUUCCUUCUUGUAAUUGAGAUCUUUCAUGCUUUUAUUAUAUUUAGGAGAUUUCUCUUGAUUGUAAGUUCUCUCAUCCCUAAUGUUGACAAGCCAUUUCUCUACAGUAUGGGGCCAACGUGACGAAACCCAGGCUAGGAACUGAAUGCUGCUCUCACCUGUGACCACGCAGCUGGAGACAACAGACCUGCUACCCUGCUGUGUCCAUUGAGCCCAUCCAGCUGUGUCCAUCAAGACAGCAGAUCUGCUACCCUGCUGUGGGAAUAGCUGUGCUGUGCCUGCUAGGUAAUCUCGUGACGGUUGUAAAAGGGACAUUCCUAUCAUAUGUGAUGUGUACUCUUUAUCCUGACAGUAUAUAACCACUCUGUACACCCCACCUGUUUGGUGCCCUUCCUUCCUUGGGGAAGGAAGGCCCCAGGCUAGCUCUCAGAUCUCGCUCAUAAUAAACUCAUCGCAACUUUGAUUUAUAGAUUGGUUAUGGAUUAUUUUCAUUGACAUGAUGUUUAAGGAAUUGCUGUUCAUGUACUAAUGGACAGAAAGUAGACCAUGUAUAUAUUCAUUCAGCAAACAUUUCAUGAAAACCUGCUAUGUGACAGCUGUCAUUCUAGAUGCUGGGAUAAUAAGCAAUGAAAGAGAUAAAAAUGCCCAGUCCUGUGGAAUUUAUGAUCAGGGUGGCUAUGGUCAAUUGUUAAGAAACAAUGGGACACUUAAGGAGAUCUAAUAAAAUGUGGGCAGCGUUGGUGAGGCACUCUGUGACUGUGACUAGUAGGGAGCCAUUAUCACCACUAGGCCUGCUGUGAAGGCGGGUGCUACAAGCUGGC
rnacentral:lncRNA from 1 species